UACGAAGGGGGCUAGCGUUGUUCGGAAUUACUGGGCGUAAAGCGUAUGCAGGCGGACUUUUAAGUCGGGGGUGAAAUCCCGAGGCUCAACCUCGGAACUGCCUUCGAUACUGGAAGUCUUGAGUCCGGGAGAGGUGAGUGGAACUCCGAGUGUAGAGGUGAAAUUCGUAGAUAUUCGGAAGAACACCGGUGGCGAAGGCGGCCUUCUGGACAGUGACUGACGCUGAGAUGCGAAAGCGUGGGGAGCAAACAGG
rnacentral:rRNA from 1 species